AGGGCGGUAUCGUAACUGAACUGCACCUGAAACAAGCUGAUUGGCCGGAAUAGCGAAUCCAUCCCGCGACGGGACGGAUCGCCUAAAGACUUGGUCCGCCUUGAUCCAAAAAAGACAGGGACGGAGAA
rfam:Bhargavaea cecembensis DSE10 contig000002, whole genome shotgun sequence.